UACAGAGGUCCCAAGCGUUGUUCGGAUUCACUGGGCGUAAAGGGUGCGUAGGUGGCCAGGUAAGUUUGGUGUGAAAGCUCGGAGCUUAACUCCGAAAAGUCAUUGAAUACUAUCUGGCUGGAGGGUCGGAGGGAGACUGGAAUUCUCGGUGUAGCAGUGAAAUGCGUAGAUAUCGAGAGGAACACCAGUGGCGAAGGCGGAGUCUCGUCGA
rnacentral:rRNA from 1 species